rnacentral:sRNA from 1 species
UAGUCAUUUUGGCUCAAGCCG